rnacentral:lncRNA from 1 species
UUGAGAAGUCUCUGGAACUCAGAGAAAAUACUAUUAAACGAAGCACAGAAGAGAAAUGAAGUCCGGGGUCCAAAAUAUCUAAGGACCCCAUAUAUACACACAUACAUACAUACAAGUGGGUCGGACCGGGUCGGAUGACCCAAAGGCAGAAAAGGAAUUGGGCUCAGAUACAGUGGGCUCGGCACAUAUUCAAUUGGCCCAAUAACCAGUAAUCAUCAUAGCCCACACUAAUGUAUACCAGAUAUACAAUAAACAUACACUGCAUAUACAUU